rnacentral:rRNA from 1 species
GUGGGGAAUUUUGGACAAUGGGGGCAACCCUGAUCCAGCAAUGCCGCGUGCAGGAAGAAGGCCUUCGGGUUGUAAACUGCUUUUGUACGGAACGAAACGGUCUGGGUUAAUACCCUGGGCUAAUGACGGUACCGUAAGAAUAAGCACCGGCUAACUACGUGCCAGCAGCCGCGGUAAUACGUAGGGUGCGAGCGUUAAUCGGAAUUACUGGGCGUAAAGCGUGCGCAGGCGGUUUUGUAAGACAGGCGUGAAAUCCCCGGGCUCAACCUGGGAAUGGCGCUUGUGACUGCAAAGCUGGAGUGCGGCAGAGGGGGAUGGAAUUCCGCGUGUAGCAGUGAAAUGCGUAGAUAUGCGGAGGAACACCGAUGGCGAAGGCAAUCCCCUGGGCCUGCACUGACGCUCAUGCACGAAAGCGUGGGGAGCAAACAGGAUUAGAAACCCGAGUAGUCC